rnacentral:piRNA from 1 species
UAGUUGCAGUGUAAAGACUUUUCUACUCA